UGCGAUUUCUCCAUAAGAUUUUGGAAAAUAGCUCGAAAUAAGAUCAAGAUGUGUGUGCUGUAGGCUGGAGAAAGAAUGAAGAUGUCUUUGAUAUACGGUAUGUGUGAGAAUCAGAGUGGAUCAGAGUGCGGGCAGAGCGCUCUUAAUUAUGGAUGGCCUGUUUAUCCUCUCAGGAGCACCCAGGGAGGCAAAACAUCCAUUUUAACUUGGCCACCCGAGCUAAUAUGACAGGAAUCCACACACUGAUUCUGCUUUAUAACACCUCAAAGUAACAGCCCCCAUAACUUCUGCUCAUCAUACACACACCAAACACAACACUGAUUCAGAGAGUAUGAGUUUAAGUUGUUUAUUUUAUGUGACGUAACUGUCUCCAUCAUCGUCUGGUAAGACACUUUUAUUUGUGUUAAAAGAAGAGAACAAAAAAAGACAUGUAAAGGAUAACGUGGAAAUGCAUGUACCGAAACAAACAGUAUCUCUCUGCGUGAUGUGUGAGCGCGUCGGCCAGGCGCAAAACCAAAGGACAGAAAGGAACACGAAGUGGGAAAGAUUGCUCUUUUUCUAACCUUCCAAGCAUGUCUGUUAUUGAUUUAUACCACAAGUAAAACUCAACUUCAAAUGUACCUGCCUGGUCUCUGUUAUACUUUUGUGUCCAAACCUACUGAGCCGUUUGGACUGAUGUUACCAGUUACCCAUCUC